rnacentral:rRNA from 1 species
GAGUUUGAACCUGGCUCAGGAUGAACGCUGGCGGCGUGCCUAACACAUGCAAGUCGAACGGAUCCAUACUGAAACCUAGUGAUGUAUGGAUUAGUGGCGGACGGGUGAGUAACGCGUGGAUAACCUGCCGUAUACAGGGGGAUAACACUUAGAAAUAGGUGCUAAUACCGCAUAAGCGCACGGUUCCGCAUGGAACAGUGUGAAAAACUCCGGUGGUAUACGAUGGAUCCGCGUCUGAUUAGCCAGUUGGUGGGGUAACGGCCCACCAAAGCGACGAUCAGUAGCCGGCCUGAGAGGGUGAACGACCACAUUGGGACUGAGACACGGCCCAAACUCCUACGGGAGGCAGCAGUGGGGAAUAUUGCACAAUGGGGGAAACCCUGAUGCAGCGACGCCGCGUGAGUGAAGAAGUAUUUCGGUACGUAAAGCUCUAUCAGCAGGGAAGAAAAAAAGUCCUUUGGACUUUGGACGGUACCUGACCAAGAAGCCCCGGCUAACUACGUGCCAGCAGCCGCGGUAAUACGUAGGGGGCAAGCGUUAUCCGGAUUUACUGGGUGUAAAGGGAGCGUAGACGGCAGCGCAAGUCUGGAGUGAAAUGCCGGGGCCCAACCCCGGAACUGCUUUGGAAGCUGUGCAGCUCGAGUGCAGGAGAGGUAAGCGGAAUUCCUAGUGUAGCGGUGAAAUGCGUAGAUAUUAGGAGGAACACCAGUGGCGAAGGCGGCUUACUGGACUGUAACU